UUAAUUGAAGCCAAACAUAGAGGCAUAUUAUUGUUAAUAAUAGAAUUGAAUAACAUUCCAAUUAAA
rnacentral:tRNA from 1 species